rnacentral:snoRNA from 1 species
AACCCGUGAUGAGGAAACUCUCUGAGGGUAUCGUUAAACCGUUCCCAAGCUUCGUUGAAAGGUUCACUAGUGAGUUGCUUGAAGGAGGAAAUCUUGUUCCUUAGGGC